rnacentral:rRNA from 1 species
GACGAACCGUCCAACCGUUAUUCGGAAUCACUGGGCUUACAGAGUUCGUAGGCGGUCCGGUAAGUUAGGUGUGAAAUCCCUCGGCUCAACCGAGGAACUGCGCUUGAUACUGCCGGACUCGAGGGGGAUAGAGGAAAGCGGAACUGAUGGUGGAGCGGUGAAAUGCGUUGAUAUCAUCAGGAACACCGGUGGCGAAGGCGGCUUUCUGGGUCCUUUCUGACGCUGAGGAACGAAAGCUAGGGUAGCGAACGGG